rnacentral:misc_RNA from 1 species
GCUCCGUAGGUGAACCUGCGGAGGGAUCAUUACAGAGUUCUUGCCCUCGCGGGUAGAUCUCCCACCCUGUGUUAUUUCUACCUUUGUUCCUUUGGCGGGCAGCCCCCGGCUACCGCCCCCGGCUGGUAGGCGCCGGCCAAGGUACCCCAAACCCUAACCGUCAGUUUCUUUUUAUUACUAUACAAUAUUAAAAACUUUCAAAAAGGGAUCUCUUGGUUCGGCCAUAGAUGAAAAACACAUCAUAACGAAAGAGCCCACGUCUGAACUCCCGUCACACAA